AUGGCUACUCUCCCAGUGUUCAUCCUCCUGUCAUUGAUUUGUGUCUGCAAGUCUGAUGACCGCCUUACACCUGCAAAGCCGCUCUCUGCUGGCAACAAGCUUGUUUCGAGCGGCGGCGUCUUUGCUCUCGGCUUCUUUUCCCCGACAAACUCAACUACGGGCGCAUAUAUUGGCAUAUGGUACAACAACAUCCCUGAGCGUACAUAUGUGUGGGUUGCUAACCGCGACAACCCGAUCACCAACGCUUCUCCUGGGAAGCUGGUUCUGACCAACAACUCCGACCUUGUAUUGUCUGACUCCCGAGGCCUCGCUCUUUGGACAACCAAGAACAACUUCACAUCCGGAACCACAGGAACUUCUGCUGUACUGCUCAACUCCGGAAACUUGGUCAUCCGGUUGCCGAAUGGCACGGACAUAUGGCAGAGCUUCCAACAUCCAACUGACACGGUCCUCCCCAGCAUGCCUUUAUCACUGAGCGCAAAUGAUGGUCUCUACACUCGCCUCAUUGCUUGGAGGGGCCCUGAUGACCCAGCCACCAGCGACUACUCCAUGGGCGGUGACUCUAGUUCCGGCCUCCAGAUUGUCAUCUGGAAUGGGACGAGGCCGUAUUGGCGCAGAGCUGCGUGGGAUGGUGCAUUGGUCCCUGCCUGGUAUCAAGGCACCACCGGCGCCAUCAUGACCCUAACAAUUGUUGACAGAGGGGGUGAGUUAUACAUAACAUUCACCGUCUCUGACGGCUCGCCAAGCAUGCGCCUGAUGCUGCACUACAGGGGCAUGUUUAAAUUUCUGGCAUGGAACAGCAACUCGUCAUCAUGGGAGGUUUUCACAGAGCUGCCUAGUUCUAGCUGUGACCGAUAUGCCUAUUGCGGACCAUUUGGCUACUGCGAUGCCACUGAAACAGUUCCGAAAUGCAACUGCCUCAGUGGGUUUGAGCCUUAUGGUGUUAACUUCUCCAGAGGGUGUCGGAGAAAGGAAGAUCUGAAAUGUGGCGGUGGUGAUAAUUUCUUGACCUUGAGAGCUAUGAAGACACCCGAUAAGUUCGUUUAUGUUAGGAACAGAAGCUUUGACCAAUGCACAGCAGAGUGCAGCCGCAAUUGCGUUUGCACUGCGUAUGCUUAUGCUAACUUGCAAAAUGGAAUCACAUCUGUUGACCAGUCAAGGUGCUUGAUUUGGUUGGGGGAGCUUGUUGACACGGGAAAGUAUCCUGAUGGUAAUAGCUUGUUGACCUCCGUCUUGCCAGUUCAACAGGUAUAUAUCAUCCCUUAUGCGCUUAUUCAGCUUAUUCAUUAUACGUUAUUCAAAAGAAGCAAUAUUGAUAUGAAGACAUUUCUAUCAGGCAAACGACGAAUCAAGGAAAUUAAGAAUAAAUAUACACGGCGACACUCGAAAAAUUCCAAAUCUAAUGAACUUGAGAAUGAAACUAUAGAACUUCCAUAUAUUUGCUUUGAAGAUGUUGUUACUGCAACGGACAAUUUCUCAGACUACAACAUGCUCGGGAAAGGUGGCUUCGGAAAAGUUUACAAGGGACGAUUAGAAGGUGGCAAUGAAGUUGCUGUCAAAAGACUUAGUAAGAGUUCUGGGCAAGGGGCCGAGGAGUUCAGAAAUGAAGUGGUUCUCAUUGCCAAAUUGCAGCAUAGAAACUUAGUUAGGCUUCUUGGUUACUGCACUCAUGAAGAUGAAAAGUUAUUGAUAUAUGAAUACUUACCUAACAAAAGCUUAGAUGCCUUCAUUUUUGAUGCCACAAGAAAUUUUGUGCUUGAUUGGCCGACCCGGUUCAAGGUAAUUAAAGGUAUUGCGAGAGGGCUUCUUUAUCUCCACCAAGAUUCAAGAUUAACAAUAAUCCAUAGAGAUCUCAAAGCAAGCAAUGUCUUGUUAGAUGCGGAAAUGAACCCCAAAAUAUCUGAUUUUGGUAUGGCAAGGAUUUUUGGAGGAAAUGAGCAACAAGCGAACACUAUCCGCAUUGUUGGGACAUACGGUUACAUGUCUCCUGAAUAUGCAAUGGAAGGUUCCUUUUCUGUCAAGUCUGACACCUAUAGCUUUGGUGUUCUACUGUUGGAGAUUAUAAGCGGAUUAAAGAUCAGUUCAGCCCAUCUCAUAAUGGACUUUUCAAGCCUUAUAGCUUAUGCGUGGAGCUUAUGGAACCAUGGAAAUGCAAAAGAAUUGGUGGACUCGUCCAUCGUGGAGAAUUGUUCACUUCCUGGAGUUUUGCGGUGUAUUCAGUUAGGUCUGUUGUGUGUUCAAGAUGAUCCAAAUGCUCGGCCACUCAUGUCAACCAUUGUGUUCAUGUUAGAAAAUGAAACAGCUCCGCUUCCUACUCCAAAGGAGCCAGUAUAUUUUAGGCAACGGAAGCAGGAAGCCGAAGACCUGAAAGAAAACCUAGAAAUGUCUCUUUAUGGCAUGACUAUGACAAUGCAAGAGGGGCGUUAA
rnacentral:rRNA from 1 species